rnacentral:rRNA from 1 species
UAGCGGCGAGUGAAGAGGGACAAGCCCAUCGCCGAAUCCCUGCGUCCCAGCGGCGUACGGGAAAUGUGGCGUAAGGAAGCCGUGGCUGACCGGGGACGAGGUGCCGACGUCCUUGUGAAGGAGGCCCGCAUCCCAUAGAGUGUGUUAGGCCCCCGCAGGCGCCCGUCGCCGGUAGCCUUUAGGCUUUCAAGAGUCGGGUUGUUUUAGAAUGCAGCCCAAAGACGGGUGGUAAACUCCAUCCAAGGCUAAGUACUAUGCACGAGGCCGAUAGUUGACAAGUACCAUGAGGGAAAGUUGAAAAGAACUUUGAAGAGAGAGUUCAAUAGGACGUGAAGCUGCCGAGAAGUAAACGGAAAGGACCCGCGCACUGGGGCCGAGAGAUUCAGCGCAAGGGGAGUUGCGGCGCCCCGUUCCGUCUGCGGAUUCCCCACGGGAACCCUGGCGGGAUGGGUCGAUGCGGCCGCCCGUCGCGCGCAUUUCUCUUGUGCUUCUGGGGUUGGCGACCGACCGUUGUUCGGCCGAUUGGACGCGGCGCAGGCCGGUAGCUGUUUUCCAGGUCCUCAACCUUAAAACAGAACGUAUAGUCUCGCCGUCUGCAUCGGUCGCAAGGUCGAGGUAAAAUGACCACGGACCGCGCCUGCUCAGCCUUCGGGCUUGGGGCUGGAGCCGCCGGACUCCCGCUCGUGCGGCGUACGGGGACUGUCCUCAGUGCCCGCUCGCUCGUGCGGUCGAGAAAGGCCGGAUCGCCUCUCAGGCGCACGGGGUCAGCCGACUUAGUUGGGCGCCUUUCCGACCCGUCUUGAAACACGGACCAAGAAGUCUAACGGACCUGCAAGUCGAAGGGCCGUACCGAAGCCCCGAGGCGCAAUGAAAGUAAAGGAUGGUGUAGGCCGUCCUAGGUGGGAUCCUUGUCCUCUGGGCGAGGCGCACCACCGCCCCGUCUCGUCCGCAUUGCUCGGUGAGGCGGAGGAAGAGCAGGUACGCUAGGACCCGAAAGAUGGUGAACUAUGCCCGAGCAGGAUGAAGCCAGAGGAAACUCUGGUGGAGGUCCGCAGCGAUUCUGACGUGCAAAUCGAUCGCCCGUA